rnacentral:piRNA from 1 species
UCUCUUAAGAAUUCAUUAAAUUGCCAAG